rnacentral:rRNA from 1 species
AGUUGAGUAGUAAUACUUGACCUAGAGCGGCGCACGGGUGCGUAACGCGUAUGCAACCUACCUUUUACUGGGGGAUAGCCCGGAGAAAUCUGGAUUAAUACCCCAUGGUAUCUACGAAUCGAAUGUUUUGUAGCUUAAAGAUUUAUCGGUAAAAGAUGGGCAUGCGUCUGAUUAGCUAGUUGGCGGGGUAACGGCCCACCAAGGCGACGAUCAGUAGGGGUUCUGAGAGGAAGGUCCCCCACACUGGCACUGAGAUACGGGCCAGACUCCUACGGGAGGCAGCAGUAGGGAAUAUUGGGCAAUGGUCGCAAGACUGACCCAGCCAUGCCGCGUGCAGGAAGACGGCCCUCUGGGUUGUAAACUGCUUUUAUCUGGGAAGAAAAAGUCCAUGCGUGGAAAAUUGCCGGUACCAGAUGAAUAAGCACCGGCUAACUCCGUGCCAGCAGCCGCGGUAAUACGGAGGGUGCAAGCGUUGUCCGGAUUUAUUGGGUUUAAAGGGUGCGUAGGCGGCUGAAUAAGUCAGCGGUGAAAGACUUCGGCUUAACCGGAGCAGUGCCGUUGAUACUGUUUGGCUUGAGUGUUGGAGGGGUACAUGGAAUUGAUGGUGUAGCGGUGAAAUGCAUAGAUACCAUCAGGAACACCGAUAGCGAAGGCAUUGUACUGGCCAACAACUGACGCUGAGGCACGAAAGUGUGGGGAUCGAACAGGAUUAGAUACCCUGGUAGUCCACACUGUAAACGAUGAUUACUCGCUGUUAUGGUGUAUGCUGUAGCGGCCAAGCGA